rnacentral:rRNA from 1 species
AUUGAACGCUGGCGGCAUGCCUUGCACAUGCAAGUCGAACGGCAGCACGGGGCAACCUGGUGGCGAGUGGCGAACGGGUGAGUAAUAUAUCGGAACGUACCUUUCAGUGGGGGAUAACGUAGCGAAAGUUACGCUAAUACCGCAUAUUCUGUGAGCAAGAAAGCAGGGGAUCGCAAGACCUUGCGCUGAUUGAGCGGCCGAUAUCAGAUUAGCUAGUUGGUGGGGUAAAGGCCUACCAAGGCGACGAUCUGUAGCGGGUCUGAGAGGAUGAUCCGCCACACUGGGACUGAGACACGGCCCAGACUCCUACGGGAGGCAGCAGUGGGGAAUUUUGGACAAUGGGGGCAACCCUGAUCCAGCCAUGCCGCGUGAGUGAAGAAGGCCUUCGGGUUGUAAAGCUCUUUCGGCCGGGAAGAAAUCGCAUAGGUUAAUACCCUGUGUGGAUGACGGUACCGGAAUAAGAAGCACCGGCUAACUACGUGCCAGCCGCCGCUGUAA